GGGCUUCACCAUUUUGGCCAGGCUGGUCUUGAACUCCUGACCUUGCUAUCCACCCACCUCGGCCCCCCAAAGUGCUGGGAUUACAGGCGUGAGCCACUGUGCCUGGCUGACAUCUGCACUGUCAUAGGGGAUCGCUCAGAGUGGUGGGAAAAACUACAGGGAAAGGAUGCAAAACUUCUGAAAGGUCAGAAGGUUCUGCAGAGCCCUGGGGGAGAAUGACUGAGGGCAGCUGUUCUAUAACCCUGAGGCAGAGGGCAAGGAGCAGGUACAAGGGAGUGUGGGGGAUUUUAUCUUAAACAAGCUUGUUAUGUUGACCAGGAACUGACUUUUGAUCAUCUGCGCACAUGAAGUUCCCUGAAAGGGGAACAAUAAAUGUUAAUUACCUACAGGUUGUGUUGGCUCCAGGUUUUUGGCAUUGUGCCUGCACUGAAUAAAAGCAAGCAGCUCCAGUUCUCGGGGCUGAACUCCGGCCACUUGAGCUGCUCUUACACUGUAUACCUGUGUCUGAGUACUCAGUUCAUCCACCAGUCAGGGUCUGUGGGACAGACUAGGCAGGUGGUGCCCCGUGUGAGGAGCAGCGCAGUGGAUCAUGAUGGAACCCUCGAAAAUGAACGUGAAGUGACUGCGCACUUCCUAAGUUUUCCACAUCACAGAAGCCUUGCAAGUAUUUCUGCCAUGUUCUCCACCUGGAUGGUGGUGGUGUGGAACAGGGACAGUCACCAGGAAUGGCCAGAGGACCCUGGAUCGAACAAUUCAUCAGAAGCAGGAGCACCCUCCAGAAGUUUGUGGAAAACUUGAGAUGGACAUUAGACUUUGCAAACUCCAAAGGGUGAUGCUGGUUCAAGGCACAUUUGCCCUGACCUGAAGGGUCAAUGUGACCACUUCUAGUCUUUAUGAGCAGGGCUGUGUGUGUUUCAGUGGCAGUGUGUCUCUAAGAAGUGUGGGCUUUCAUUGUCUGUAUAAUUAAACCCUGUGCUU
rnacentral:lncRNA from 1 species